CAGGUUUCCCACUGAUUCAACAUUAUGGCUUAUAAGAUGGAAGGGACUUGCCUUGUCUUAGAUGAGACGUUGGACUGUGGACUCUUGAGGACAGCUCCUGCCCAAACUCUGCUGCUGUGCCAUGUGCCCUAGCCUGGGACAGGAACAACCUGGAGAAAACAGCACCUUUUUUUUGAUUGGUUCUCCCUGCGUGGUGCUUCUUUUUGCAGUUCAGCUGUUUGUAGGAAGUGUCUUUUCUAACUACACAAAGACUCCUGACGGCUAGCUGUGACUCCGCCCAAAGUUGACCUGAGCGAAUCCCUUAAUGAUAUCUUGGAGAUAUGAACACAGUUCUUCCUCCUUCCAGCUGGACAUGAUCAAGGAAGCAUGGUGCCCCAGAUGCCCUUGGUAAUGUCAUAUUUUCACCAUUGUGGGAGCCAGCCUGAGUUGAAGCUGAACUGAAAAAAUCACAGACAAAGUGCUAAACUGCUGCAUACAGCCUCAAGAGUCCACCUACUUGACUCUAUAUGAUAAUAUAAAACAUGUGAUAUGUAUAUGAUAAUAAAAGAUAAAUGUCUUCAUUAUUUGUCAUUUUGAUUUGGGCUUUUCUGUUAUUUGUAGGUAAAACAUCUUAAGAGACAUAAUUAUUUUCUGGCUCUAAAAGCAAUGGCCAUUCACUUAGAAAAUGUAGAAAAGAUAGAAAAGCACAAAAAUUUAAUAAUUAUACCACCCAAAGACUAUAACUGUAAACUUUUAAAUAUGACUUUCUGAUCUUUUUCUAUGUGUAGAUAUAUGUACUUUCAAAACUCAGGACAAUAGUGCACAUAAUACUGAAUAUUCUGUUUUACUCAACUAAUGACAUAUAAUGAAUCCAAGAGAAAUUUUUCUUCUCUAAUUUAAUUUUAAUAUUUGUAUAUUAUUUUCUUUUAUGAUUGUAGUUUAUGUUCCCUAUUAUUGGAUAUUUGGAGGUAUUUUGAUUUUCUCAUAUUAUAAAUAAUGCCAGAAGAAUAUUAUAGUGUAUAUAUUUUACACAUAUUUAGUUGGCUUCUUAGAAUAUGUCUUUACAAGUGGAGUUUGAUCAAAAGAUGUGAAAAUACUAAAAGAUUUGUAUGCAUAUUUACACACUUUUAGCUUGUAUUCAAAAUGAGACUUAACUGGUGUUUAAAAUAAAA
rnacentral:lncRNA from 10 species